GACGAACGCUGGCGGCGUGCCUAAUACAUGCAAGUUGAGCGCUGAAGGUUGGUACUUGUACCAACUGGAUGAGCAGCGAACGGGUGAGUAACGCGUGGGGAAUCUGCCUUUGAGCGGGGGACAACAUUUGGAAACGAAUGCUAAUACCGCAUAAAAACUUUAAACACAAGUUUUAAAUUUGAAAGAUGCAAUUGCAUCACUCAAAGAUGAUCCCGCGUUGUAUUAGCUAGUUGGUGAGGUAAAGGCUCACCAAGGCGAUGAUACAUAGCCGACCUGAGAGGGUGAUCGGCCACAUUGGGACUGAGACACGGCCCAAACUCCUACGGGAGGCAGCAGUAGGGAAUCUUCGGCAAUGGACGAAAGUCUGACCGAGCAACGCCGCGGGAGUGAAGAAGGUUUUCGGAUCGUAAAACUCUGUUGGUAGAGAAGAACGUUGGUGAGAGUGGAAAGCUCAUCAAGUGACGGUAACUACCCAGAAAGGGACGGCUAACUACGUG
rnacentral:rRNA from 1 species